rnacentral:rRNA from 1 species
CAGCCGCCGCGGGAAUACAGAGGGUGCGAGCGUUAAUCGGAUUUACUGGGCGUAAAGCGUGCGUAGGCGGCUUCUUAAGUCGGAUGUGAAAUCCCUGAGCUUAACUUAGGAAUUGCAUUCGAUACUGGGAAGCUAGAGUAUGGGAGAGGAUGGUAGAAUUUCAGGUGUAGCGGUGAAAUGCGUAGAGAUCUGGAGGAAUACCGAUGGCGAAGGCAGCCAUCUGGCCUAAUACUGACGCUGAGGUACGAAAGCAUGGGGAGCAAACAGGAUUAGAUACCCGAGUAGUCCCUGUCUCUUAUAC